rnacentral:rRNA from 2 species
UGCACAAGCCGGUGGAGCAUGUGGUUUAAUUCGAAGCAACGCGAAGAACCUUACCAGGUCUUGACAUCCAGUGCAAACCUAAGAGAUUAGGUGUUCCCUUCGGGGACGCUGAGACAGGUGGUGCAUGGCUGUCGUCAGCUCGUGUCGUGAGAUGUUGGGUUAAGUCCCGCAACGAGCGCAACCCUUGUCAUUAGUUGCCAUCAUUAAGUUGGGCACUCUAAUGAGACUGCCGGUGACAAACCGGAGGAAGGUGGGGAUGACGUCAAGUCAUCAUGCCCCUUAUGACCUGGGCUACACACGUGCUACAAUGGACGGUACAACGAGAAGCGAACCUGCGAAGGCAAGCGGAUCUCUAAAAGCCGUUCUCAGUUCGGACUGUAGGCUGCAACUCGCCUACACGAAGCUGGAAUCGCUAGUAAUCGCGGAUCAGCACGCCGCGGUGAAUACNNUCCCGGGCAA